rnacentral:lncRNA from 1 species
GCUAGAAGAUUCUUCUUUGGCCUUUAAAUCCAUUAAAAAAUGACUUAUUUCUAACCAUGUUACUAUCUUCUAAGAAAAAUUCAUCCUUCAAUACUUGAAAAAACUUCUCCCAUCAACCUCUAAAAUAUCUUAUAAGAGAUUUUAUCUAAUUUCUUAUCUCUAAUGUAGAGGCUAAUUCAAAUAAUUAAACCAUCUUUCUUUUUGAAAUACACUUCAACUCCGAUUCCUUUACAUAAUACCUUAAAUGUUUUGUAAUAUCUUUCCCUUCAAAUUGAUUGAUCUUGUCUAUAAUUGCUUGUAAUGCUUUAUUUUUCAUACUCUCUUUCCAAUCUUUAAUCUAUUGAUGUUGCAUAAAUAAAACAAAAGCCUCAAACAUACUUAUAGAGUUGGAAUGAAAAUACAUACCUUUUUUUCCACUAGUUCCACCACCUCUAGCUCCAAUUAAAGCACCACCUAUAGCUCCUCUUUCAACUUUCUUGCCAUCUUUUUUAAUAAUUCAAAUAAUUCAAGAGAACCAAAUACCUUCCACUUCAAGUCUUUUAUGUUGAGUUCACCAAAUAUGUCAUAUUACAUGAAGUCUUGUUUGAAAGUGCAUUGGACACCUUCCUAAGGAAGAUAGAAUGGAAAUUGCAAUAAUUUUUUUUAAUUCUAAUUUAAUAUUAAAUAAAAACUAAUUAAACCUUAAUAAUAUUAAAUAAGAUUUAAUCAAAUUCAAAUAAAGCCUUAAAGAAAGUACAAAAGAAACAAUAAAAAAAUCUUAAAGGAAUUGAAAAAAAAUCCAUAAUGAAACUUAAAAGAAUCCUUAAGAAUUCUUAAAAAAUAUUUGAAUAAUCUCAAAUAUAUCUAAAAUAAAUCUCAAUCAAGUUCUAAUUUAAUCCUAAUUAAAAUCCUAAUAGACUUCAAUCAAAUCCUAGACAAACUCUAAAUCCUAAACCAAAUCCUAGAUCAAAUUCUAAAUCCUAAAUAAAAUCUUACAUCAAAUCCAAGACCAAUUCUAAUUCCUAAAUCAAAUCCUAGAAAAAUCCAAAAUCCUAAAUCAAACCCUAGAUCAAAUCCUAGAUCUUAAAUUAUAUCCUAAAUCAAAUCCUAGAACAAAUCCUAAAUCUUAAAUCAAACCCUAAAUUAAACCUUAAUCCUACUCAAUCUAAUCUUAGUACAAUUUAAAACCUCAAUAUCUAUUAAUUGAACUAUUGAUCUUGUUUAAAAUUUUACACACCUUUCAA